UGGGGAAUAUUGGACAAUGGGGGCAACCCUGAUCCAGCAAUGCCGCGUGUGUGAAGAAGGCCUUCGGGUUGUAAAGCACUUUUAUCGGGAACGAAACAUUGUCGGCCAAUACCCGGCAAGACUGACGGUACCCGAGGAAUAAGCACCGGCUAACUCCGUGCCAGCAGCCGCGGUAAUACGGAGGGUGCAAGCGUUAAUCGGAAUUACUGGGCGUAAAGCGUGCGCAGGCGGUUUGUUAAGUCUGCUGUGAAAUCCCCGAGCUCAACUUGGGAAUUGCAGUGGAUACUGGCAAGCUGGAGUACGGUAGAGGAAGGUGGAAUUCCCGGUGUAGCAGUGAAAUGCGUAGAGAUCGGGAGGAACACCGAUGGCGAAGGCAGCCCCCUGGGCCUGUACUGACGCUCAUGCACGAAAGCGUGGGGAGCAAACA
rnacentral:rRNA from 1 species